UACGUAGGCGGAAAAUUAAGUCAGUGGUGAAAUCCUGCAGCUUAACUGUAGAAUUGUCAUUGAUACUGGUUUUCUUGAAUAUAGUUGAGGUAGGCGGAAUGUGUAAUGUAGCGGUGAAAUGCUUAGAUAUUACACAGAACACCGAUUGCGAAGGCAGCUUACUAAGCUAUGAUUGACGCUGAGGUACGAAAGCGUGGGGAGCGAACAGGAUUAGAUACCCUGGUAGUCC
rnacentral:rRNA from 1 species